rnacentral:rRNA from 1 species
GGGUUGUGAGGUUAAGCGACUAAGCGUACACGGUGGAUGCCCUGGCAGUCAGAGGCGAUGAAGGACGUGCUAAUCUGCGAAAAGCGUCGGUAAGGUGAUAUGAACCGUUAUAGCCGGCGAUGUCCGAAUGGGGAAACCCAGUGUGAUUCGUCACACUAUCGUUAACUGAAUACAUAGGUUAACGAGGCGAACCGGGGGAACUGAAACAUCUAAGUACCCCGAGGAAAAGAAAUCAACCGAGAUUCCCCCAGUAGCGGCGAGCGAACGGGGAGCAGCCCAGAGUCUGAAUCAGCUUGUGUGUUAGUGGAACGGUCUGGAAAGUCCGACGGUACAGGGUGAUAGUCCCGUACACCAAAAUGCACAGGCUGUGAACUCGAAGAGUAGGGCGGGACACGUGGUAUCCUGUCUGAAUAUGGGGGGACCAUCCUCCAAGGCUAAAUACUCCUGACUGACCGAUAGUGAACCAGUACCG